GACGAACGCUGGCGGCGUGCUUAACACAUGCAAGUCGAACGGUGACGCUGGAGCUUGCUCCAGCUGAUCAGUGGCGAACGGGUGAGUAACACGUGAGCAACCUGCCCUUGACUCUGGGAUAACCCCGGGAAACCGGAGCUAAUACCGGAUACGAAACGCAUAGGCAUCUGCGCGGUUGGAAAGCUUUAGCGGUCAAGGAUGGGCUCGCGGCCUAUCAGCUUGGUGGUGGGGUAACGGCCCACCCAGGCGACGAAGGGUAGCCGGCCGGAGAGGGCGACCGGCCACACUGGGACUGAGACACGGCCCAGACUCCUACGGGAGGCAGCAGUGGGGAAUAUUGCACAAUGGGCGAAAGCCUGAUGCAGCGACGCCGCGUGAGGGACGAAGGCCUUCGGGUUGUAAACCUCUUUCAGCAGGGAAGAAGCGAAAGUGACGGUACCUGCAGAAGAAGCACCGGCUAACUACGUGCCAGCAGCCGCCGUAACAC
rnacentral:rRNA from 1 species